CUUUGAUAUUGUGGAAGGGUGAGAUAAUGACAUGACUGUAACACAAAUCCAUAUUGAAGAGCCCAGUGUUUAAAAUUCCCUGGGUUCACACACCGGAGGUUUACUUGUGAGCUGAUGAUACUUGUGAGCUGAUGGCACAUCACAGAUAAUCAUCAAAUAUGGUUAUCAACUUAGUAUCUGGACAAAGAAUGAAAACAGGAAAUAACAUUCUAUUACUAACUCCUAGUUGUUGAAUAUAGGAAACACUUAAAACAUAUCAAGCACCCUUAGUAAUCUUUUCAAUAAAGUAUAUACAACUCAGUGGAGCACCCUCCACAGAGUCCUUUCUAGUCAGAUGAAAAGGUCAUUUAUCUUCUUUUAACAAAUAAGACUUUGGAAAAUUCAAGGCAAGUAGGCCAGAUUAUAGCAUGAUGCUCUGAAGACAGGGAAUGGUGCUCCUCCUGUUUUUUUCUGCUCUCAGACCACCUUCUCAUCCCCUUUGCUUUUCAACAACAAAGCCCCAGCAUGGUGAGUUGGAGGUUGAUGAAAAUAUGUCCAGGAGCCGUAACUGCCACUGUUAAACCUGAAUACUUCCUUUAUAAAAGAUAUCUAAGGUGUCAUUCCAGACCCGUCAUUUAUUUUUUUUUUUAAUGUACUGAUGAAU
rnacentral:lncRNA from 1 species